rnacentral:rRNA from 1 species
UUUAACUGGAGGGUUUGAUUCUGGCUCAGAAUGAACGCUGGCGGCGUGCCUAACACAUGCAAGUCGAGCGAGAAAGAGAGCUUCGGCUCUUGAGUAAAGCGGCGCACGGGUGAGUAACGCGUGGAUAAUCUGCCUUAAGGACCGGGACAACUUUGCGAAAGCGGAGCUAAUACCGGAUGGUCUGCAUUUGUUUAUUACAUAUGUAGUAAAGGAUGGCCUCUGAUUUAAGCCAUUGCCUUGAGAUGAGUCCGCGUCUCAUUAGCUAGUUGGUGGGGUAAGAGCCUACCAAGGCGACGAUGAGUAGCUGGUCUGAGAGGAUGAUCAGCCACACUGGAACUGGAACACGGUCCAGACUCCUACGGGAGGCAGCAGUGGGGAAUAUUGGGCAAUGGGGGCAACCCUGACCCAGCAACGCCGUGUGAGGGAAGAAGGUUUUCGGAUCGUAAACCUCUGUCAGAAGGGAAGAAGUGCAUGCCAAGUAAUAUGUGGUAUGUUUGACGGUACCUUCAGAGGAAGCACCGGCUAACUCCGUGCCAGCAGCCGCGGUAAUACGGAGGGUGCGAGCGUUAUUCGGAAUUACUGGGCGUAAAGCGCGCGUAGGCUGCGCGGCAAGUCAGAUGUGAAAUCCCCGGGCUCAACCUGGGAAUUGCAUUUGAAACUGCCGUGCUUGAGUGAGGUAGAGGGUGGCGGAAUUCCCGGUGUAGGAGUGAAAUCCGUAGAUAUCGGGAGGAACACCAGUGGCGAAGGCGGCCACCUGGGCCUUCACUGACGCUGAGGUGCGAAAGCGUGGGUAGC